rnacentral:lncRNA from 1 species
GAAUGUUUAUGAGUGCAAUGGUAAGAAUAUUUUCAUGAGGUGAAAGAUGGAAUGUUCCAUUCAACGAGGCGACAGCCGAGUUGAAUGGAACAUUCCAUCUUUCACCGAAUGAAAAUAAUCUUACCAUUGCACGAAGAAACAUUCAUUAUUUGUUUUAUAUAAUACCAAAAUAGACUAAUAGAUUCGUAUCAGAAGCAUUUUGAGGGAUGCGAUUUAUCGAAAACACAAAGAGUGCAAUUGUACUAUAUGUUUUAUUCCAUUGCAAUCGCGGAGAGUGCAAUGGAACGUGUUCCAUUGCACUCUUGGGAAAUGGAAUUUUCUAUUCAAUAUCACGUGACCAUAAACAGCC